CUCUGUGACUCCUACGGGAGGCAGCAGUGGGGAAUAUUGCACAAUGGGGGAAACCCUGAUGCAGCCAUGCCGCGUGUGUGAAGAAGGCCUUCGGGUUGUAAAGCACUUUCAGUAGGGAGGAAGGUAGUGUAGUUAACACCUGCACUAUUUGACGUUACCUACAGAAGAAGCACCGGCUAACUCCGUGCCAGCAGCCGCGGUAAUACGGAGGGUGCGAGCGUUAAUCGGAAUUACUGGGCGUAAAGCGCAUGCAGGCGGCCUGUUAAGUCAGAUGUGAAAGCCCGGGGCUUAACCUCGGAAUUGCAUUUGAAACUGGCAGGCUAGAGUCUUGUAGAGGGGGUAGAAUUUCAGGUGUAGCGGUGAAAUGCGUAGAGAUCUGAAGGAAUACCAGUGGCGAAGGCGGCCCCCUGGACAAAGACUGACGCUCAGAUGCGAAAGCGUGGGGAGCAAACAGGUUUAGAUACCCUGGUAG
rnacentral:rRNA from 1 species